GGAAAUACACUUUUAUAAAAAAAGAUCUCCCUUUGAUAUCAUUCAAUACAACCACAUGCCAAUGAAGAUAUCAGUUAAAUUUAGAGACAGGAGAGGGAGAGUGGGAAGAGAGAGAGAGAGAGAGAGAGAGAGAGAGAGAGAGAGAGAGAGAGAGAAGGCACCUAAACAGGAAACAUACUUCCUUCCAAAUUAUUGUUCGUGAGCUACUUGAUCGUUAUGUAGCGAUUUGUCCCAUGUCUGGCCCAGUAUUCCUUCA
rnacentral:lncRNA from 1 species